rnacentral:rRNA from 1 species
CCUACGGGAGGCAGCAGUGAGGAAUAUUGGUCAAUGGACGAGAGUCUGAACCAGCCAAGUAGCGUGAAGGAUGACUGCCCUAUGGGUUGUAAACUUCUUUUAUAUGGGAAUAAAACGUUCCACGAGUGGGAUUUUGUAUGUACCAUAUGAAUAAGGAUCGGCUAACUCCGUGCCAGCAGCCGCGGUAAUACGGAGGAUCCGAGCGUUAUCCGGAUUUAUUGGGUUUAAAGGGAGCGUAGGUGGAUUGUUAAGUCAGUUGUGAAAGUUUGCGGCUCAACCGUAAAAUUGCAGUUGAAACUGGCAGUCUUGAGUACAGUAGAGGUGGGCGGAAUGCGUGGUGUAGCGGUGAAAUGCUUAGAUAUCACGAAGAACUCCGAUUGCGAAGGCAGUUCACUGGACUGCAACUGACACUGAGGCUCGAAAGUGUGGGUAUCAAACAGGAUUAGAUACCCUAGUAGUC